AGUGAACGCUGGCGGUAGGCCUAACACAUGCAAGUCGAACGGCAGCACAGUAAGAGCUUGCUCUUACGGGUGGCGAGUGGCGGACGGGUGAGGAAUACAUCGGAAUCUACUUUUUCGUGGGGGAUAACGUAGGGAAACUUACGCUAAUACCGCAUACGACCUACGGGUGAAAGCAGGGGAUCUUCGGACCUUGCGCGAUUGAAUGAGCCGAUGUCGGAUUAGCUAGUUGGCGGGGUAAAGGCCCACCAAGGCGACGAUCCGUAGCUGGUCUGAGAGGAUGAGCAGACACACUGGAACUGAGACACGGUCCACACUCCUACGGGAGGCGGCGGUGGGGAAUAUUGGAGAAUGGGCGCAAGCCUGAUCCAGCCAUACAGCGUGGGUGUAGAAGGCCUUCGGGUCGUAAAGCCCUUUUGUUGGGAAAGAAAAGCAGCAGGUUAAUACCCCGCUGUUCUGAGGGUACCCAAAAAAUAAGCACCGGCUAACUUCGUG
rnacentral:rRNA from 1 species